rnacentral:misc_RNA from 1 species
AGCAGCCGCGGUAAUUCCAGCUCCAAUAGCGUAUAUUAAAGUUGUUGCAGUUAAAAAGCUCGUAGUUGAAUUUCGGGAUUGACACAUCGGUCGUGCCUUAAGGGGUAUGAACUGGUGUAGUCAAUUUCUCACCUUCUGGAGAACCGCGAUGCCCUUAAUUGGGGUGUCGCGGGGAACCAGGACCUUUACUUUGAAAAAUUAGAGUGUUUAAAGCAGGCAUUUUGCUUGAAUACAUUAGCAUGGAAUAAUAAAAUAGGACGGCAUGAUUCUAUUUUGUUGGUUUCUAGGAUCACCGUAAUGAUUAAUAGGGAUAGUUGGGGGCAUUAGUAUUCAAUUGUCAGAGGUGAAAUUCUUGGAUUUAUUGAAGACUAACUACUGCGAAAGCAUUUGCCAAGGAUGUUUUCAUUAAUCAAGAACGAAAGUUAGGGGAUCGAAGACGAUCAGAUACCGUCGUAGUCUUAACCAUAAACUAUGCCGACUAGGAAUCAGACGAUGUUAAUUUUUAAUGUACUCGUUUGGC